rnacentral:rRNA from 1 species
AAUUAAGUUAUUAAGGGCACACGGUGGAUGCCUUGGUAGAGAGAUACGAUGAAGGACGUGGCUACCUGCGAUAAGCUUCGGGGAGUUGGAAGCAAACUUUGAUCCGAAGAUUUCCGAAUGGGAAAACCUAUUCCGAUGUAAAAUCGGAGUACCCCGACUUUUAAGUCGGGGAGAAAUACCCAGGGAAUUGAAACAUCUUAGUACCUGGAGGAAAAGAAAACAAAAGUGAUUUCCUUAGUAGCGGCGAGCGAAACGGAAACAGCCCAAACUUCGACACUUGUGUCGGAGGGUUGUAGGGCAUCUGAUGAGAUUUAAUUCUCGGAGAGUUACAAAUUUAGUUUAUAGCUGAAGCAUCUGGAAAGAUGCGCCAUAGAAGGUGAUAGCCCUGUAGACGAAAUAAACUAAACUCUCUGUUAGAUGUUCCUGAGUACUGCGGGACUCGAGAAAUCCUGCAGGAAUCCGCCUGGACCACUAGGCAAGGCUAAAUAUUCCUCUCUAACCGAUAGUGAACUAGUACCGUGAGGGAAAGGUGAAAAGAACCCCGAUGAGGGGAGUGAAAUAGAAUCUGAAACCAUGUGCCUACAAGCAGUCGAAGCAAAGCGCAUAUUCGUAUGCGCCAAGUGACGGCGUACCUUUUGCAUUAUGGGCCGGCGAGUUACUGAAUGCAGCAAGGUUAAAGAAUACUCUUCUGUAGCCAUAGCGAAAGCGAGUCCUAAUAGGGCGAUUGAGUUGUGUUCAGUAGACCCGAAGCCGAGUGAUCUACUCAUGGCCAAAGUGAAUCCUGACUAAUCUCGGGAGGAGGCUUGAACCCACUAGGGAUGCAAACCUAGGGGAUGAGCUGUGAAUAGGGGUGAAAGACUAAUCAAACUCGGCGAUAGCUGGUUCUCCCCGAAAUAUAUUUAGGUAUAGCCUCGUAGGAUAAGUAAAGGAGGUAGAGCACUGGCUGGGCUAAGGGCCUUACCGGGUUCCUAACCCCAAUCAAACUCCGAAUACCUUUACUCUUUACCUACGGGAGUCAGACUGUGGGAGAUAAGUUUCACAGUCGAGAGGGAAACAGCCCAGAUCAUCAGCUAAGGUCCCAAAGAACAGGCUAAGUGGAGAAGGUUGUGGAAAUACUGAGACAACCAAGAGGUUGGCUUAGAAGCAGCCAUCCUUUAAAGAGUGCGUAACAGCUCACUGGUCAAGUGUUUCUGCGCCGAAAAUUUAACGGGGCUUAAGCCUGUCACCGAAGCUAUGGACUCCGACUUUUAAGUCGGUUUGGUAGGGGAGCAUUCUCUACGGAUUGAAGCUCUGCUGUAAAACAGGGUGGACUGUAGAGAAGAGAAGAUGCCGGCAUUAGUAGCGUUAAUUCCGACGAAAAAACGGAACACCGUAAGCCCGAGGUUUCUCCGGCAAUGUUAAUCAUCCGGAGGUUAGCCGGGACCUAAGUCGAGGUCGAAAGGCGUAGACGAUGGACAUCCAGUCAAAAUUCUGGAGCCAUCUUGCUUCCAUUUGAGCAAUGGGGUGACGUAGAAAGUAUAAUCAUCCCUGUGAAGGAUAUCAGGGUCUAAGUUUUCCGAUAGUCUCUUCAGGUAAAUCCAGAGAAUAAACUGUUGGAAGAUGAUGGGGAGCUCAAGCUACGGCAAGAGCGAACUGAUUAAAAAUUCUAUCAAGAAAAGCCUCUAGCAAGGAAGAGAGAUGCCCGUACUAUAAACCGACACAGGUGGGCGAGGAGAAUAUCCUAAGGUGUUCGAGUGAACCCUCGUUAAGGAACUCGACAAAUUGACCCCGUAACUUAGGGAUAAGGGGUGCCUCAUUGGAAUUUUAUGACGUAAGUUAUAGAAUUUGAAGAGGCCGCAGUGAAAAGGCUCAAGCGACUGUUUACUAAAAACACAUGUCCCUGCUAACUCGUAAGAGGAUGUAUAGGGACUGACGCGUGCCCGGUGCCGGAAGGUUAAGGCAAGCUGUCAUCUUGUGCAUUUAUGUAUAAGAGAAGCAGUGAACUGAAGCCCUGGUAAACGGCGGCUGUAACUAUAACAGUCCUAAGGUAGCGAAAUUCCUUGUCGGGUAAGUUCCGACGCGCAUGAAUCGCGUAACGAUUUGAGCAUUGUCUCAACGAGGGACUCGGUGAAAUUGAAUUGGGGGUGCAGAUGCCCCUUACCUGUGGCAAGACGGAAAGACCCCGGAACCUUUACUGUAAUUUAGCAUUGGAUUUUAGUUCAAUAUGUAGAGCAUAGGUGGGAGGCUUUGAACUUCGGUCGCUAGGCCGGAGGGAGCCAACAGUGUAAUACCACCCUUAUUGUACCGAAGUUCUAACUCUGAUAACAAGUCGGAGAACAGUGCUUGAUGGGCAGUUUAACUGGGGCGGUUGCCUCCCAAAGAGUAACGGAGGCGUCCAAAGGUUCCCUCAGCACGGUCGGUAAUCGUGCGUAGAGUGCAAAGGCAUAAGGGAGCUUGACUGCGAGACCGACAGGUCAAGCAGGCGCGAAAGCGGGGCUUAGUGAUCCGGUGGUUGUGUGUGGAAACGCCAUCGCUCAACGGCUAAAAGGUACUCCGGGGAUAACAGGCUUAUCUGGUCCGAGAGUCCAUAUCGACGACCAGGUUUGGCACCUCGAUGUCGGCUCAUCGCAUCCUGGGGCUGAAGUAGGUCCCAAGGGUUGGUCUGUUCGUCCAUUAAAGCGGUACGCGAGCUGGGUUUAGACCGUCGUAAGACAGGUCGGUCCUUAUCUGCCACAGGCGUAGGAUAUUUGAAGGAAUCUGUCCUUAGUACGAGAGGACCAGGACAGCCGAACCUCUGGUGCACCAGUUGUUCUGCCAAGAGCAUUGCUGGGUAGCUACGUUCGGUGCGGAUAAGCGCUGAAAGCAUCUAAGUGCGAAGCCCUCCCUGAGAUUAGAUAUCCCUGAAGGCAACUCGAAGAUGACGAGUUUGAUAGAUCAGUGGUGUAAGAGUGGUAACACUUUCAGCUUACUGACACUAAUUGCCGUUCGAUUUUUUUGU